CUCAGCCUCUUUGGUGCAGUGGUUCUUAACAGUUCAACAGUUCUCUAUCAUAAUUGUGAAAUGUUUAGGACCACUUGACCAGCGAGGUCCGGGCAUCG
rnacentral:pre_miRNA from 12 species